CCCCCCCCCCCCCCCCGUUGCUACGGCCCUGCGUUUUCAUUCAUGCUUUCACACAAAAACGGAUAAAAACAAGGUCAAGGAAAUGUUUUCCUAUGGACUGGUGAACAGAGCAUCAAACGAAUUUCUAGUUGCUUCUGUGUUAAAGAUGACGAGAUAGUUCAUAGAUUCUAGACCUUUCUACCAUUCGCCUUUCUUUUCUUUUUUUUUCUGACGGUGGCCCCGCAAUUGGGCUCACCGCCAGAGUUGCUAGGGUAGAUGUAUCCCUGUAGGCAGGUGUUGAUUGGAGUGGCAUUACUUCAUAUGUUUCAAGUUCAUCAGUAUCAGUAGUCACAGACACAGAUAAACGAG